UACGUAGGGUGCAAGCGUUGUCCGGAAUUAUUGGGCGUAAAGAGCUCGUAGGCGGUCUGUCGCGUCUGCUGUGAAAACUCAGGGCUUAACCCUGAGCUUGCAGUGGGUACGGGCAGACUAGAGUGCGGUAGGGGAGACUGGAAUUCCUGGUGUAGCGGUGAAAUGCGCAGAUAUCAGGAGGAACACCGGUGGCGAAGGCGGGUCUCUGGGCCGAAACUGACGCUGAGGAGCGAAAGCGUGGGGAGCGAACAGG
rnacentral:rRNA from 1 species